AUAGUCGUGGCCGAGCGGUUAAAAUUAAGGCGAAAGAUUAGAAAUCUUUUGGGAUAUUCCCCCGCAGGUUCGAAUCCUGCCGACUUCC